GAGACAGACCUGGGUUCAGGUCUGAAAUGGCCGCCCCUGGGCUCUGCCUCCCCGCGGCUGGAGGGCUCUCACCUCCGAGCUCCUGCUACCCACUGGCCUCGCCCUGGGUCCCCGUCCUUCUCCCUGCGGAUGCUGCCUGGAGCUGGCGGUAACCUGUUGCAAUCCCAAGAAGGAAAUUACAAGUCUGAAGUCAACAGCAAACCCAGGAAGGAAAGGACAACAUUUACCAAGAGCAAAUCCAAGGACUAGAAGCAGAAUUUGCCCAUUACAACUAUGUGACUAGACUGAGGAGAUACAAGAUAGCAGAGAAUCUGGAUCUCACCAAAAGACAGGUGAAAGUGUGGUUCCAGAACAGGCGGAUGAAGAGGAAGAGGGUAAAAUUGGGCCAGCUGGGCACUGCUGCCUGAGAAAAGGAACUGGUGAAGUGAAGAAGGAACCCUGCUCCCUUCAGAGCUGUCAGGGAUUGGUGCGGCCACGCUCCAGCAAACAGGGGACUCUCUGGACAAUGAAGACAGCCACAACAGCGACCACAGCUCUGAGCAUGCACACUUAUGAUCCACACAGACAGGACCAGCUCCAUCCUCAGGAAAGAAGCACCGUGAUGGCAAGCCUUACCCAACAGAGUUUACACAGAGAGAUGGCCAUGGCCAUGAUUUUUAAUAUUAUCAAAUUCAGGCAUCAUGGGUCUGUUUUGCAUGAUUUAUAGAGGAAGGAAGUGCCACUUAUCAAAGAUGUUUCCAUGAUGAAAAUCAGAAGGUGAAUUUGCUUUGAAUAGUCCAGAGAUGUUUGGUUGUGUGUAUGACAGUGAGCAGGUAUGUUUGCCUUUGCUUGCACUGAAAAAUUAAACGGGUACUAAGAACAAAUUAUGACACAUUUCUACACGAGAUGCCUCCAGAGUGAAAACGUUGAAGAUGAACUUACUUUACCCUCUCAGAUGUACGAGUUCAUGUUUAUGACAGUGGGCAGGUAUUUGCUUUUGCUUGUACUGAGAAAUUGCUAUCAAGAAUAAAACAUAAAACCUUUUAUCCUGAACAGCCAAAGUGCCUGAGAUCAUUCAAGUAGAUUUUAAAAAGGAUGUAGUUUAACUCUGUAUAUAUUAUCCUUAAGUCAUUUUCCUGUCUUCACUAAUUUUAGCAAUUCAUUCAUAUUAGCUGAUGAAAAUAGGCACUGAUAAUGCCAGCCAGGCCAGCUUCCUGCCUUUUUAUGCAUGUGUC